AUGUGGAGCAUGUGUAAUCGUUUCUAUCAUCAACUGUCUGAAUGGGAAUGUGGAGCAUGUGUAAUCAUUUGUAUCAUCAACUGUCUGAAUGGGAAUGUGGAGCAUGUGUAUAUCAUUUGUAUCAUCAACUGCGUUGAAUGUGGAGCAU
rnacentral:lncRNA from 1 species